rnacentral:rRNA from 1 species
AUUGAACGCUGGCGGCAUGCCUUACACAUGCAAGUCGAACGGCAGCACGGGAGCAAUCCUGGUGGCGAGUGGCGAACGGGUGAGUAAUAUAUCGGAACGUGCCCAGUCGUGGGGAUAACGUAGCGAAGCUACGCUAAUACCGCAUACGAUCUAUGGAUGAAAGCGGGGGAUCGCAGACCUCGCGCGAUUGGAGCGGCCGAUAUCAGAUUAGGUAGUUGGUGAGGUAAAGGCUCACCAAGCCGACGAUCUGUAGCUGGUCUGAGAGGACGACCAGCCACACUGGGACUGAGACACGGCCCAGACUCCUAC